rnacentral:rRNA from 1 species
GUGCAUGGCAGACGGGUGAGUAACGCGUGGGGAAUCUACCUCUUUGUGGGGAAUAACGCUCCGAAAGGAGUGGUAAUACCGCAUGAGAUCCAUGGCUGGAAUGUUGUGGAUGAAACCUGGGGACCUUCGGGCCUGGGGCAAGGAGAGGAUCCUGCGUCUGAUUAGCUAGUUGGUGAGGUAACGGCCCACCAAGGCAACGAUCAGUAGCCGGCCUGAGAGGGUGAUCGGCCACACUGGAACUGAGACACGGUCCAGACUCCUACGGGAGGCAGCAGUGGGGAAUUUUGCGCAAUGGGCGAAAGCCUGACGCAGCAACGCCGCGUGGGUGAUUAAGGUCUUCGGAUCGUAAAACCCUGUCGUCGGGGACGAAGGUGUGGGGGUUAAUAGCCUUUGCAUUUGACGGUACCCGGAGAGGAAGCCCCGGCUAACUCUGUGCCAGCAGCCGCGGUAAUACAGAGGGGGCAAGCGUUAUUCGGAAUUAUUGGGCGUAAAGGGCGCGUAGGCGGCUUUUUAAGUGAGAUGUGUAAUCCCCGAGCUCAACUUGGGAACUGCAUCUCAUACUGGGAGGCUAGAGUACUGG